rnacentral:lncRNA from 1 species
AUGUUCAGCUGGCACCGGAGCUUCGCGCUGGCAGCGCCCUGGAGGCGAGGUGAGCCCGGCCGCCCCCCGCGGCACACCCCCGGCCCCGCUCCUCCCUCCCGGCCGGGGCCGCCCGGGCGGUGCCCGGCCCGCUGCGGGCAGCACGGCCCUGCCCGCCCCGCCGCCGGCCCGAUGCUGCGCUCGCUGCUCUCCGGCUGCCUCUGUCCCCACGCAGGUAAGAAGAGCCCACCUGCUGAGGACAAAGUAGUGCUAACACACAUGAAGAUACUGACCAACGAAGGAAUUCAGAACCCAGCGCUAACACCAGAGACCCCCACUGAUGCAGCCUGCACCGAAGAGCCCCAUCUCCCUGGUGCCAGCCUCCCCCAGGACUGCCAGGGAAGUCCCAAUGCUGUGGCCCCGGAGGCAGACCCAGACUGUGCAGAUGCCCCGGCAGGCACAGACUAUGUAGCCACACUGCCUGACCUCAGCACCUUUGAGUCCAAGUGCCAGCUUCACAGAUUCUCCAAAUUUGAGUCUGAGGACUCAGGGGUCGAAUUGCCAAGUGGGGCUAAUUCUCCAUCGACGCCAACAGGUUCAGAGAAGAGCUUUGUGCUUCACAACAGAGACUCAUUUUGCGACUCGGGCGUGCUUAGCACCUCUUCGUCCCCAGAAAUUGACCAUCUGAUAACGAGAACAUGUAAAGAACGUGCCAGAAAAGUCAGUCACCAAGGUCCAGAGAGUGAAAAGCAAGCUGAGUGCUACAGCCAGGAGUCUGAUGCUGUGCAGGUUCCCACAGCUCCCCUUGACAACUUCAGUGUCCCUCAGGAAGGAGAAAAUCCUGGUGAACAUUUUGACCAGAGCGAAAGGCAAUCUCUGGAAAAGGAACCUGCACCAGAGAUGGACCUACCCAGGGAAAGCACUCUUCCCACCCCAGAUCCUGUAGAAGAGCCAAAGACAAUUGCUGACAAUUACCCAGAGAGCUUUGGCAGCAUGCAAGACCUUCAGAUCCCUGGGCAUCCACUGAAGAAGUACCCCACAAGUGACAGCCUGGAUGAAUACAUGGAUGAAUGCUGUCGACUGAGUGAGGUGAACCAAGGGAACAGCAAGGCCCUGGGAUCAGGCCUGGGAUACCUGGAACACAUCUGCCAACUGAUAGAGAAGAUUGGGCAGCUGCAGGAGCACAACCUGCGGCUCCAGAAGCAGGUCUGCAGCUUGCAGAAAGAGCAGAAGAUGAGCCAGCUAAAAGAGGAGUACCUCAUGCAGCAUUGCUCCUGCGGAGCUGCCAGCGUGUUCCUCAACUCGUACCAAGACAUGAAGACAUUUUUUGCAGGAAGAAGCAGACCUCACAGCCUCUUGGUUCAGACGGGAAACCCUUCUGAUCUUUCCAUCAUCCCAGAAAUAGGAGCCAACACCGAAAAGCUGAGCAGCUGCAGCGGAAGUGAGAGAUACCCGGAAUCAGGAAACAGCCAGCCAAUGUCGGGGCUCAGGAAGCUGUCAAACAAUAGGAACAACAAGGAGAAUGAGUUCACAGAAGCUGGUAGCAUGGCUGAGGGGCAGGCUUUUCCGUCAAAGGACCCUGCAGCCCGAAAGGUGAGUGAUAAGCUUGGAGCCAGGCUCCGAGUGGGGUCGGUGGGGGAAGCAGGGAGAAGUUCUGCUCACGCAAGUGCAGAGCAAGGUACCAGGAGAACAAGCCAACAUUGCCUGCUCCCGACCAGAGCUGGGGCUGUGUGGGCCGGGGUGCUCUGUAUGUAUCUGAUCUCAGGCUUAAAUAAUGAUGAAGGAUAUGCUGAUGGGGCAAGAAAGGCACAGAACAGGUACCUGGUGCAGGGGAAAGAAGCACUGCAGGCAGCAACAUGGGCUUUAGCCCUCACUAACUCCAGGUAG